CAGCCGCCACGGGAAAACAGAGGGUGCAAGCGUUAAUCGGAAUUACUGGGCGUAAAGCGCGCGUAGGUGGUUUGUUAAGUUGGAUGUGAAAGCCCCGGGCUCAACCUGGGAACUGCAUCCAAAACUGGCAAGCUAGAGUACGGUAGAGGGUGGUGGAAUUUCCUGUGUAGCGGUGAAAUGCGUAGAUAUAGGAAGGAACACCAGUGGCGAAGGCGACCACCUGGACUGAUACUGACACUGAGGUGCGAAAGCGUGGGGAGCAAACAGGAUUAGAGACCCCUGUAGUCCCUGUCUCUUAUAC
rnacentral:rRNA from 1 species